UCAUUUUUCAAAUAUUAGUAAAAAAUUACUUUCAAAUCCAUUUUAUAAGAUUUUUUCAAUCCCUUAACCAUCAAUAAUAUUAAUGUAAUCCAUCUCUUCUUGAAUAUAAGCUACAUCUUGACUUGAUAUCCUUUCCAUAAAACUCGUGAAUAUUUAAAUUCAAUAGAAAUAUUCAAACCACAGCGAUAUGUAAGCUAAAAAUUCAAGUAACUUUAAUCGUGGAAUAUCAAUUACAGGACAGAUUCCUCUGAAUAGACUAAAAUACCGCCAUCUUUAUUAAUUUUCAAGAACUUAACUACUAAUAAUUCAGGUUAACAAUUUUAAUUUUUAUAAUAGGGUAUCUAAUCCUAGUUUA
rnacentral:rRNA from 1 species